rnacentral:rRNA from 1 species
GGUUAAGCGACUAAGCGUACACGGUGGAUGCCCUGGCAGUCAGAGGCGAUGAAGGACGUGCUAAUCUGCGAAAAGCGCCGGCGAGGUGAUAUGAACCCUUGACCCGGCGAUGUCCGAAUGGGGAAACCCAGUGCAAUCCGUUGCACUAUCGUUAACUGAAUACAUAGGUUAACGAGGCGAACCGGGGGAACUGAAACAUCUAAGUACCCCGAGGAAAAGAAAUCAACCGAGAUUCCCCCAGUAGCGGCGAGCGAACGGGGAGCAGCCCGGAGUCUGAAUCAGCUUGUGUGUUAGUGGAACGGUCUGGAAAGUCCGACGGUACAGGGUGAUAGUCCCGUACACGAAAAUGCACAUGCUGUGAACUCGAAGAGUAGGGCGGGACACGUGGUAUCCUGUCUGAAUAUGGGGGGACCAUCCUCCAAGGCUAAAUACUCCUGACUGACCGAUAGUGAACCAGUACCGUGAGGGAAAGGCGAAAAGAACCCCGGCGAGGGGAGUGAAAAAGAACCUGAAACCGUGUACGUACAAGCAGUGGGAGCCUCUUUAUGGGGUGACUGCGUACCUUUUGUAUAAUGGGUCAGCGACUUAUAUUCUGUAGCAAGGUUAACCGUAUAGGGGAGCCGAAGGGAAACCGAGUCUUAACUGGGCGUUAAGUUGCAGGGUAUAGACCCGAAACCCGGUGAUCUAGCCAUGGGCAGGUUGAAGGUUGGGUAACACUAACUGGAGGACCGAACCGACUAAUGUUGAAAAAUUAGCGGAUGACCUGUGGCUGGGGGUGAAAGGCCAAUCAAACCGGGAGAUAGCUGGUUCUCCCCGAAAGCUAUUUAGGUAGCGCCUCGUGAACUCAUCUUCGGGGGUAGAGCACUGUUUCGGCUAGGGGGCCAUCCCGGCUUACCAACCCGAUGCAAACUACGAAUACCGAAGAAUGUUAUCACGGGAGACACACGGCGGGUGCUAACGUCCGUCGUGAAGAGGGAAACAACCCAGACCGCCAGCUAAGGUCCCAAAGUCAUGGUUAAGUGGGAAACGAUGUGGGAAGGCACAGACAGCCAGGAUGUUGGCUUAGAAGCAGCCAUCAUUUAAAGAAAGCGUAAUAG